GGGUUGGUUUCAGGUCGGGUCAACCCGAACCCCACCCAUAUAACCCUAUAUUAGUAAAAUGAUAUUAGGCCUUAGUAUUUUUAUUUGGACAAAGCCCAACCUAUGUCAAAUCCUAUAGAGUACAAAAAACCCAAAAAGUGAAAACCCUAUUUUUUUCUAGUCAUUUUCCCACUUGUUCAGCCGUUUUCAUCUCUAUUUUCCCAUCUUAUUCUCUCACCUCUCUCUUUUUUCUCUAUCUAGCUUGUUUAUCAAAAUUGCAACUUCAAACUUGUUUAUCUUCAAAUUUUUCGCCUACUAAGGUGAAUGAUGAAGCCAAUACACCAAGCCCAUUUGAGAGCGCACCUCAAAGUCAGUAGCAAGACUAGCAACUAGUCAAACCUGAUGAAGUUUUCCAAGAUCUAAUUUUUAUUUUGUUGGGAAUAUUGCCUCCUUAAGACAUUGAUUUUGAUUUUGGACUGUACUGUAAAUUAUUAUAUGUAAACUAUGGUUAGUUUUACUUGAAUGUAUUUUUAUUAUGCUUAAAUUGAUAGGUUUGUACAGCAAAGUUUUAUGCAAAAUAACAAGUUAAAUAUACGACUUUUUUUUUUA